CAUAUAUAUGUAUAUAUAUAUAUAUAUAUAUAUAUAUAUAUAUAUAUACACACACACACAUAUGUAUAUAUAUAUACAUACACACACACAUAUAUAUGUAUAUAUAUACAUA
rnacentral:miRNA from 1 species